UGACCCCAAAAGGGACCCAGGUCCUAAAGGUGACCCCAAAAAGGGAUCCAGGUCCUAAAGGUGACCCCAAAAGGGACGCAGGUCUUAAAGGUGACCCCAAAAGGGACCCAGGUGACCCUAAAAGGGAUCCAGGUCCUAAAGGUGACCCUAUAAUGACCCUAAAUGACCCCAAAAUGGUCCGAAAUGACCCCAAAAGGGCCCUAGGUGACCCUAAAAGGGAUCCAGGUCUUAAACAUGACCCCAAAAGGGAUCCAGGUCCUAAAAGUGACCCCAAAAGGGAUCCAGGUCCUAAAGGUGACCCCAAAAAGGGACCCAGGUGACCCUAAAAGGGAUCCAGGUCCUAAAUGUGACGCUAUAAUGGCCCUAUAUGAUCCCAAAAGAGUCCUAAAUGACCCCAAAAGGGAUCCAGGUCCUAAAGGUGACCCUAAAACGGCCCUAAAUGACCCCAAAUGGGAUCCAGGUCCUAAGGUGACCCCAAAAGGGAUCCAGGUCCUAAAGGUGACCCCAAAAAGGACCCAGGUGACCCUAAAAGGGAUCCAGGUCCUAAAGGUGACCCCAAAAAAGCCCUAAAUGACCCCAAAAGGGAUCCAGGUCCUAAACAUGACCCCAAAAGAGCCCUAAAUGACCCCAAAAGGGAUCCAGGACCUAAAGGUGACCCCAAAAGAGCCCUAAAUGACCCCAAAAGGGAUCCAGGUCCUAAAGGUGACCCCAAAAAGGCCCUAAAUGACCCCGACCCCCCCCCAAAAUGUUUUAGGGUCGCACCGAGGACGCGGAUCUCGACGGGGCCGCAGCCGUUGAGC
rnacentral:lncRNA from 1 species